CUUUGCUCCUGCAGACGCGACUGCUUCAUAGCUGACCUGCGACCGCUUUCCCCUGGGUACUGAGUCACAAGUGAGAUGGAUCCCAUGUGACAUUUACCAUGUCGUACUUGCAGUCUCAAGCUCCUUUACAUUACAAAGGUAAGAGUGUAUGGAAUAAAGAGAAAAAGCAAAAGAAAUGUGUUCUUUUUCAAGGGCCCCCAAAAUCUGAUCAGGAAAAAAGUAACCAGAAAGAUUUCUAUAUAUAUAGUUUACAAAAAUUUUUUGUUAUACCUAUUAUACCUUCCAAUUAUAAUUAUAGUUAUUCUUUAGCUUUUGAGUUUUAUGACACAUAUAAAAGACACUUCUCAAAGCUUGUUUAAGUGAUUCUAUUAUUUAUACAAUGGCCUCCCCAUUUAUAAAAUCUAUCUUCUGAUGAUUCCACUCAACCUCCCUAAAAUUACACUGACUUCAAGAAGUGAAGAUUUGGAGAGCACACGGUCUCCUGUGUUUUAUGAAGCCUAUAACUUCAGAGUGUAUUUCAGCCUUUUAAACUUAAGCUCUUAAUAAAAAUGUUUAUAUGUAUAUAUAUAAUUAUAUGUUACACUUAAAUAUAUAAAUAAUUUAUGCUAACAAAAUUACCUAAAAGCUGACUUGCAAGUGCAUGUCUAGAAUUUUAGGAGACUAAAAUAACCCUCAUUGACUUAGGGAGGGGGUUGAUGUUCCUAUUGUUUUGUUUGAGUAUUCUCCAGAGUAAAACUUCUCUACAUUUUCUCCCACUUUUUAUGCAGGAUUAUGUCAACUUCUCUACUGGGCAGCUGUUAUAAAUGAAUGAGGUGAGUUUGAUGCAACAUGAGUAUGUCAUAUGUUAAGCAUAAAGCCACUGUGUCUGGUUUGCUUUGUCUAGAUGUUUUACUUUAAAAUAGCACUUCUUAAAGAGAGUAAUCAUGGGACUAGCAAAGCCUGAGCAGAAUAAUGGCAGAAUAUUUCAGAAUAUGUUCUGAAAAAACAAAUUAAAUACUUCUUCCCUUUAAUCCCAGAAAAUGUGUGGAAGGUAUCUUUAUGAGAUUAUGAGGACUUUAUAGAUAGCAGGUAAUUUGGCUUGCCUACAUGUAAUUUUCAAAGAAGCGAUGGCACCUAUUGAGCUUGAGGUUGAUUUGUGGAUAAUUUAGCAUUUAGACAAGGACUUAUUUUCUUCUCUGAUGUUUUCAGAGUUAUUAGAAAAAUUAGACUAGAACAGAUUUUGCAUAUCUAGUUCUCUUCUUUCAUCUCAUCUACAUGAAAAGUAUUUAUAAGCAGCAGGAUUGAGAAGUUUGGGAUACAUAAGCCAACGUCCCUGCCUCUCUGUUGGGUCUCCUGACAUUUUGGAAAUGGGUGAAAAGUUUGAUAAAUGGUUUUCAAUAGGUAUUUCCUUUCCUUUCUUUCUCUUCAGAGCUGCCAAACAAGGAGCAUCAGGUUAUUUGGACCACAUUCAAGGCGUGUAUUGAAAAUGGCUUCCUAGUUCUCUGCACUCAAAUUAUUCUGACAUCAAGAAAGAUCUCUCUAAAGACAUAGUAAUGAAGAUAAACAGCAUACUGCAAGGAGUCUGCGGGAUCUCCCAUGAACAAGCAGAGAGAGAAGUCAACAAUGG